rnacentral:rRNA from 1 species
UACGUAGGGGGCAAGCGUUAUCCGGAAUUACUGGGUGUAAAGGGAGCGUAGACGGUAAUGUAAGUCUGGAGUGAAAGGCGGGGGCCCAACCCCCGGACUGCUCUGGAAACUAUGUUACUGGAGUGCAGGAGAGGUAAGCGGAAUUCCUAGUGAAGCGGUGAAAUGCGUAGAUAUUAGGAGGAACACCAGUGGCGAAGGCGGCUUACCAGACUGCGACUGACGCUGAAGCACGAGAGCGUGGGUAGCGAACAGG